CAGUACGAAUACAGACUGUGAAAGCGUGGCCUAUCGAUCCUUUUGAAUCCGAUAUUCAGAUGUGAUGUGUGAGACUGACCUCGAAAUUCCUUGUACACUUUAAAUGCAUUGAAUGUGCAUAGUAAACGAUUUGAGUCAAGUUCGUGUGUGGUGUACAGCCCAUAUUCAAACCCACCGCUUAAAUUCGUCUUUCUCUCUUUAUUUUGCCUUUCAGAGUAUGAUCACUUUGCCCGCCAUGAAAACAGAAAUGCCAAUCGUGAGACAUGAUAUUGAUGGUUAUUUGACUCGAAAGNACUCGAAAGACCGAUUGUAUUUUUGUUCCACUAGUUAUACCAGAGACUUGUCUCACGCACGUGAAGAUUGACGUAUCGUUUCCGUUUAGCCCCGGGUUACUGUUGACAAUACACGUCGUCUCCCGACCUUGUGUUCUUCCUUGUGGAUUUCCUAUUCGAAGUUGUUCUAUUUCGGGGAUUGGUAUUGCGCUAAUUCUGGAAUCCCAUUUCGAAUACUAUUCACAAUACUACAUCAGAGUUUGAAGCAAUUGGUGUCAGAUAAGUUACCACAGUAAGAACUGGCUUGUGGCGGCAAAGCGUUCAUAGAGACGCCGGUUUUGAUGCUUCGAUGUCGGCUCCAACCACUAAUAGGGAAUGUGCGCUGGGUUUAGGCCGUCGUGACGCAUUAGUUUUACCCCAUUAAUGAGUGU
rnacentral:ncRNA from 1 species